rnacentral:rRNA from 1 species
UUGAGGGAAAGGCGAAAAGAACCCCGGAGAGGGGAGUGAAAUAGAACCUGAAACCGUAUGCGUACAAGCAGUGGGAGCCUACUUGUUAGGUGACUGCGUACCUUUUGUAUAAUGUUCAGCGACUUAUAUUCAGUGGCAAGCUUAACCGUAUAGGGUAGGCGUAGCGAAAGCGAGUCUUAAUAGGGCGUUUAGUCGCUGGGUAUAGACCCGAAACCGGACGAUCUAUCCAUGAGCAGGUUGAAGGUUAGGUAACACUGACUGGAGGACCGAACCCACUCCCGUUGAAAAGGUAGGGGAUGACUUGUGGAUCGGAGUGAAAGGCUAAUCAAGCUCGGAGAUAGCUGGUUCUCCUCGAAAGCUAUUUAGGUAGCGCCUCAUGUAUCACUCUGGGGGGUAGAGCACUGUUUCGGCUAGGGGGUCAUCCCGACUUACCAAACCGAUGCAAACUCCGAAUACCCAGAAGUGCCGAGCAUGGGAGACACACGGCGGGUGCUAACGUCCGUCGUGAAAAGGGAAACAACCCAGACCGCCAGCUAAGGUCCCAAAGUUGUGGUUAAGUGGUAAACGAUGUGGGAAGGCUUAGACAGCUAGGAGGUUGGCUUAGAAGCAGCCACCCUUUAAAGAAAGCGUAAUAGCUCACUAGUCGAGUCGGCCUGCGCGGAAGAUGUAACGGGGCUCAAACCACACACCGAAGCUGCGGGUGUCACGUAAGUGACGCGGUAGAGGAGCGUUCUGUAAGCCUGUGAAGGUGAGUUGAGAAGCUUGCUGGAGGUAUCAGAAGUGCGAAUGCUGACAUGAGUAACGACAAUGGGUGUGAAAAACACCCACGCCGAAAGACCGAGGGUUCCUGCGCAACGUUAAUCGACGCAGGGUUAGUCGGUUCCUAAGGCGAGGCUGAAAAGCGUAGUCGAUGGGAAACAGGUUAAUAUUCCUGUACUUCUGGUUACUGCUAUGGAGGGACGGAGAAGGCUAGGCCAGCUUGGCGUUGGUUGUCCAAGUUUAAGGUGGUAGGCUGAAAUCUUAGGUAAAUCCGGGGUUUCAAGGCCGAGAGCUGAUGACGAGUCGUCUUUUAGAUGACGAAGUGGUUGAUGCCAUGCUUCCAAGAAAAGCUUCUAAGCUUCAGGUAACCAGGAACCGUACCCCAAACCGACACAGGUGGUCGGGUAGAGAAUACCAAGGCGCCUGAGAGAACUCGGGUGAAGGAACUAGGCAAAAUGGCACCGUAACUUCGGGAGAAGGUGCGCCGGCUAGGGUGAAGGAUUUACUCCGUAAGCUCUGGCUGGUCGAAGAUACCAGGCCGCUGCGACUGUUUAUUAAAAACACAGCACUCUGCAAACACGAAAGUGGACGUAUAGGGUGUGACGCCUGCCCGGUGCCGGAAGGUUAAUUGAUGGGGUUAGCGCAAGCGAAGCUCUUGAUCGAAGCCCCGGCAAACGGCGGCCGUAACAAUAACGGUCCUAAGGUAGCGAAAUUCCUUGUCGGGUAAGUUCCGACCUGCACGAAUGGCGUAACGAUGGCGGCGCUGUCUCCACCCGAGACUCAGUGAAAUUGAAAUCGCUGUGAAGAUGCAGUGUAUCCGCGGCUAGACGGAAAGACCCCGUGAACCUUUACUGUAGCUU